rnacentral:rRNA from 1 species
CAUGCAAGUCGAACGGGAAAUAUUUCAUUGAGACUUCGGUGGAUUUGAUCUAUUUCUAGUGGCGGACGGGUGAGUAACGCGUGGGUAACCUGCCUUAUACAGGGGGAUAACAGUCAGAAAUGGCUGCUAAUACCGCAUAAGCGCACAGAGCUGCAUGGCUCAGUGUGAAAAACUCCGGUGGUAUAAGAUGGACCCGCGUUGGAUUAGCUAGUUGGUGGGGUAACGGCCCACCAAGGCGACGAUCCAUAGCCGGCCUGAGAGGGUGAACGGCCACAUUGGGACUGAGACACGGCCCAGACUCCUACGGGAGGCAGCAGUGGGGAAUAUUGCACAAUGGGGGAAACCCUGAUGCAGCGACGCCGCGUGAAGGAAGAAGUAUCUCGGUAUGUAAACUUCUAUCAGCAGGGAAGAUAGUGACGGUACCUGACUAAGAAGCCCCGGCUAACUACGUGCCAGCAGCCGCGGUAAUACGUAGGGGGCAAGCGUUAUCCGGAUUUACUGGGUGUAAAGGGAGCGUAGACGGUGUGGCAAGUCUGAUGUGAAAGGCAUGGGCUCAACCUGUGGACUGCAUUGGAAACUGUCAUACUUGAGUGCCGGAGGGGUAAGCGGAAUUCCUAGUGUAGCGGUGAAAUGCGUAGAUAUUAGGAGGAACACCAGUGGCGAAGGCGGCUUACUGGACGGUAACUGACGUUGAGGCUCGAAAGCG